GUUUGUAAUGUAGAUGCAUUAGCAUGCUCCACUGGUGCAACUGAUCGACGACCGUCAAGGAGAGGUCGUGGACGUAGACCAACCAUGGGGCAUGGGCUUCAGGAGUAUGCAAGCAAAAAUGGAGGGAGGAAAAUGCGUAUUGAUUUUACAGCAGGGAAAGUGAGACCUACAGACCCAGUCCAAGCAGCAAAGCUUUCUUCUGAGUGUGGUAUCCACAUCAGGAGCAGAAUGCAUGUUGCUACGCACUGGAAGGACUAUGCCAAAAGCCCACUCAAACAUGUUAUUCCCCAUGCUAUUAAAGAUAUCGCGCUUAACUUUGAGAUGGAAAAGGAUGACAAGGUUGGGAAUGAUGUAUGCACAAAAAAGAAAUACUUCAAUGGUUAUACUGCUCAGGAAGCAUUAUCAAAUAAGCCAGCAAACAUUACUCACGAGAAUUGGACCAACCUUGUCAAUAAAUGGUCCGAUGAAAGAAACAAGCAAUUAUGUCAAAUGAAUAAGGAAAACCGAGAAGCUGUCAAGCAUCACCAAAAGACUGGAUCUAUGUCUUAUGUUGCCUAUUUCAGCAAACUUAAAAAAGACCAGUACAAUAAUUAG
rnacentral:rRNA from 1 species